CCUACGGGAGGCAGCAGUGAGGAAUAUUGGUCAAUGGUCGGGAGACUGAACCAGCCAAGCCGCGUGAGGGAUGAAGGUACAGAGUAUCGUAACCCUCUUUUGUCAGGGAACAAAGGCGGGGACGCGUCGCCGGAUGCGUGUACCGGAAGAAAAAGCAUCGGCUAACUCCGUGCCAGCAGCCGCGGUAAUACGGAGGAUGCGAGCGUUAUCCGGAUUUAUUGGGUUUAAAGGGUGCGGAGGCCGGUCUUUAAGCCCGCCGUUAAAGGCCGGGGCUCAACCCCGGCGCGGCGGUGGAAAUUGGCAGUCGCGAGUUGGCGAGAGGUAUGCGGAAUGCGCGGUGUAGCGGUGAAAUGCAUAGAUAUCGCGAAGAACCCCGAUUGCGAAGGCAGCAUGCCGGCUCCACACUGACGCUGAGGCACGAAAGCGUGGGUAUCGAACAGGAUUAGAUACCCCAGUAGUC
rnacentral:rRNA from 1 species